AGAGCGAACGCUGGCGGCAGGCUUAACACAUGCAAGUCGAGCGGAUGUAGCAAUACAUCAGCGGCAGACGGGUGAGUAACACGUGGGAACGUACCUUUUGGGUUCGGAACAACACAGGGAAACUUGUGCUAAUACCGGAUAAAGCCCUUACGGGGAAAGAUUUAUCGCCGAAAGAUCGGCCCGCGUCUGAUUAGCUAGUUGGUGAGGUAAUGGCUCACCAAGGCGACGAUCAGUAGCUGGUCUGAGAGGAUGAUCAGCCACAUUGGGACUGAGACACGGCCCAAACUCCUACGGGAGGCAGCAGUGGGGAAUAUUGGACAAUGGGCGCAAGCCUGAUCCAGCCAUGCCGCGUGAGUGAUGAAGGCCCUAGGGUUGUAAAGCUCUUUUACCCGGGAAGAUAAUGACGGUACCGGGAGAAUAAGCCCCGGCUAACUUCGUGCCAGCAGCCGC
rnacentral:rRNA from 1 species